UACGGAGGGGGCUAGUCGUUGUUCGGAAUUACUGGGCGUAAAGCGCACGUAGGCGGCUUUGUAAGUUAGAGGUGAAAGCCCAGGGCUUAACCCUGGAAUUGCCUUUAAGACUGCAUCGCUAGAAUCGUGGAGAGGUAAGUGGAAUUCCGAGUGUAGAGGUGAAAUUCGUAGAUAUUCGGAAGAACACCAGUGGCGAAGGCGACUUACUGGACACGUAUUGACGCUGAGGUGCGAAAGCGUGGGGAGCAAACAGG
rnacentral:rRNA from 1 species